UAGCCUGUAAAAUAUUUUCAGUUGAUUUCUCCCCUGACUCGUUGUGGCUCCUAUUUAAAUGGGUGACAUUUAUUUGUUACAUGUCUGUCUCCCCCUCAAGACCUUAAGCUCCUAGUAGGCAGGGAAUCUGUCUGAUAAGGGCUGAAUAAAUACAAUUGACUGAUUGAAAUGGGUGUCUUCAGCAAUUGAGGCGUCUCACCCUGAUCCUGCUCUUAGUACAGUGCUCUGACAAAUAGCAUUUGAUAAACACUACUGCUGUCUUAAUGCAAUACUGCCAUCCUUCACUCUAUGUACUAAUUUACUGUUUUUUCUACUCGUACCGCCGAUUCAAGCUAACUUGGCUUCAGUGUGCGCAACUUCCUGUACUGACCUUGUAUGGACCGUUCCACCUGUGUGUGCCUCAAUUUUAAUGUUCGUCAUGUAGACUGGAAAUUUCGUGAGAGCAGGGGCCAUGCAUGCUAUGUAGUGUUGAACUCUUUGCAAGUUGAUGCCUCUCCCUUUACAUGGUAAGCUUAUUAGGGGCAGGGCUUGCUUUGAUUGUAUUCUAUUGCACUCGCUCGAAGGCUUAGUACUGUUCUCUGCACGUAGUAAGAGCUCAAAUAUGAUCUACUGACUCGCUUAGAUUGUUCGCUCCCAGUGGGCAGGGGCCGUGUCUCCUUCACCCACUUGGCAAAGAGGGUGCUUAAUGAGGUGGGAUCUGACUCGUCAGACCAAACUAGGGGUCAGAUGCCUCAAUCAGGCUGUGUUGUGGGAGGAGGAGCAGGGGUGGAGGACCAGCCUGGCAUUGGGUAAGUAGUCAGGGCCUCCGCCGCAGGCGGAGAGAAGGCAGAAGCCCAGCUUCUUUCUGGCCCCUGGAGAAGUCUCCCAGACAAUCCUGCUGUGAGGGCCAAGGAAGGAGCCUGAGCCCCAGAUGCAUCCUGGGAGACCUGGCCCCCUGGUCCAUCCCCGCCUUCCGAAGGACGCGUUCGUGCGGACAGGACAGAAGCCGCAGUACAACCCCAAACUGGACCACCAGCCCCCGUGGACAGUGGAAGACUGACCAGCUACUCACCAGAUGCUACGGACACUCAUAGAUUGAUUGCACCAGCCCCACCGUGAGGAAAUUGGUUGGCACCAGCUUGCUGCCCCCUGGACACCCUCCCUCCUCCCCCCAGCCCACAACUGUAUCCCCUCUUUCCAGACAAUGCCAUUUUCUUUGGGGGGUCAAGGGUCAAACACUGCAUCAUGGGUGUCAGACCAGUUCCUUGCGACUCCAGGAGCCGAUGGAGGGGUGUGUCUCAUGUGAGAGAGCGAGGGCCGGGACCAGAGCAGGGUGAGAGGAGCCACCCCUCUUUGGACAGGGAGAGGGUUCUGGAAACUGGGGUCUAGAGUUCUGGACAGGUGCUCUGUGGACCUGAGCAGGUGUGAAGUUGCCCUGGGGCCCUUAAUUCUAUGGACAGUGCAACUUCCUCCUGCCCCGGUCCAUUGGGAGUUAUCUGGCCCACUCUGGCUUCAAGAGUACAGACUCCCUUUUCCUGCCCGAGGGGGGUGCCCCUGGGGGAGUGGGGUACAGGGACAGUAGGAGUCAGGGUUGUGCAUGUAUGUAUGUGUGACUACCCUAUAUCCUCCAUCUCUCCUGGAUGAGCAGAAUGAGGGGUGGAGAGGACUAACAGCAAAUUCUAGAGUGGGAAGAUGCAAAGUGGCUUUCCCUGCACCCCAGCAACAGAAAUGGCAUGGUCUGGCCCCCUCCUCUUCUCCUCCCUACUCUGUCCACUUGGUGGCCUGGUCUCUGUAAGCCCAAAUGCCUCUGUAUGUAAUAAAAUGUUUAUGUUUGUGGUCA